GCGCUCAGGAUGAACGCUGGCGGCGUGCUUAACACAUGCAAGUCGAACGGUGAAGCCCAGCUUGCUGGGUGGAUCAGUGGCGAACGGGUGAGUAACACGUGAGCAACCUGCCCCUGACUCUGGGAUAAGCGCUGGAAACGGCGUCUAAUACUGGAUACGAGUAGCGACCGCAUGGUCAGUUACUGGAAAGAUUUAUUGGUUGGGGAUGGGCUCGCGGCCUAUCAGCUUGUUGGUGAGGUAAUGGCUCACCAAGGCGUCGACGGGUAGCCGGCCUGAGAGGGUGACCGGCCACACUGGGACUGAGACACGGCCCAGACUCCUACGGGAGGCAGCAGUGGGGAAUAUUGCACAAUGGGCGCAAGCCUGAUGCAGCAACGCCGCGUGAGGGAUGACGGCCUUCGGGUUGUAAACCUCUUUUAGCAGGGAAGAAGCGAAAGUGACGGUACCUGCAGAAAAAGCGCCGGCUAACUACGUGCCAGCAGCCGCGGUAAUACGUAGGGCGCAAGCGUUAUCCGGAAUUAUUGGGCGUAAAGAGCUCGUAGGCGGUUUGUCGCGUCUGCUGUGAAAUCCGGAGGCUCAACCUCCGGCCUGCAGUGGGUACGGGCAGACUAGAGUGCGGUAGGGGAGAUUGGAAUUCCUGGUGUAGCGGUGGAAUGCGCAGAUAUCAGGAGGAACACCGAUGGCGAAGGCAGAUCUCUGGGCCGUAACUGACGCUGAGGAGCGAAAGGGUGGGGAGCAAACAGGCUUAGAUACCCUGGUAGUCCACCCCGUAAACGUUGGGAACUAGUUGUGGGGUCCAUUCCACGGAUUCCGUGACGCAGCUAACGCAUAAGUCCCCGCUGGAAACCCCCAC
rnacentral:rRNA from 1 species